ACAAAAGCAACGAUCAGGACACGGUUUUCUUAGUCCGGUAUUCUUUCAGAGAGCUGGCGGUUGGUGUGAGUCAGCAGAUACUUAAGAAAAUUAUCCCCUGUGAGCUUUUCGGACGAAACAGAUUCAUUAGUCCGAAACGGAUUCUCACCGUUACAGGAGAGCAUGUUCACCGAUGAUAGAGAGAAUCGGGGACGUGGCAGAGUGAUCGAUUGAAAAACCGAUAAUAGAAGUGGUAACGCGGAGUCAUAGGCUUCGUCUUCUGA
rnacentral:ncRNA from 1 species